UACAUGGGGUGCAACCGUUGCUCGGAAUUAUUGGGCGUAAAGCGCGCGUAGGCGGUUACUUAUGUCGGAUGUGAAAGCCCUCGGCUUAACUGAGGAAGUGCAUUCGAAACUGGGUAGCUAGAGUACUAAAGAGGGUCGCGGAAUUCCCGGUGUAGAGGUGAAAUUCGUAGAUAUCGGGAGGAACACCGGUGGCGAAGGCGGCGACCUGGGUAGAUACUGACGCUGAGGCGCGAAAGCGUGGGGAGCAAACAGG
rnacentral:rRNA from 1 species